rnacentral:rRNA from 1 species
GAUGAACGCUGGCGGCGUGCUUAACACAUGCAAGUCGAACGAUGAAGCCCAGCUUGCUGGGUGGAUUAGUGGCGAACGGGUGAGUAACACGUGAGUAACCUGCCCUUAACUCUGGGAUAAGCCUGGGAAACUGGGUCUAAUACCGGAUAGGAGCGCCUACCGCAUGGUGGGUGUUGGAAAGAUUUAUCGGUUUUGGAUGGACUCGCGGCCUAUCAGCUUGUUGGUGAGGUAAUGGCUCACCAAGGCGACGACGGGUAGCCGGCCUGAGAGGGUGACCGGCCACACUGGGACUGAGACACGGCCCAGACUCCUACGGGAGGCGGCAGUGGGGAAUAUUGCACAAUGGGCGAAAGCCUGAUGCAGCGACGCCGCGUGAGGGAUGACGGCCUUCGGGUUGUAAACCUCUUUCAGUAGGGAAGAAGCGAAAGUGACGGUACCUGCAGAAGAAGCACCGGCUAACUACGUG